UCCUUAUUUCCACAUAGGAAUACACCCCAAAAAAGCAAUCAGGAUUGGAAAUUGAUCACAGAAACCUUAACUGGAAUGCCUCCAAAAGCUAUUAUUUCAUCUAAGAAAGGGGCAGAAACUUGACUGUGUGCCAGGAAGCGUUCAUACAAAGCCAAGACAGCGAUCCAAAAACAGAGCCGCUUUUCUUGUUUCCAGAGCACCACGAAGCUCACACUCAUGCUGCCGCGGCCCUCGGGGCAGCACUUCUCCACACAGCAGCUCCAGUGAUGACCAGUCUGGGAGGUGAGCCAGAGUUCACCUGGCUGACUGGGGUUUAGUAGCGCUAGUCACGCAAUGCUGUGUGCGCAAACCUCCAGCAACUUUUCAACCCCUGCACACAAGAAAGCCAUCAAGUACCUGCAAUUGACAGAAUCGCGUGCAAUUCAGGUACUCCUGGACUGGACUGGAUCGCAGCCAAAAGAACAAAGUAAAAAGUGGAAUGGAACCGUGCCAGGCCCUGUGUGAAUAGGAGUAAUGUAUGAGGAACGAAAGUAUAAUAAAGACUGAUAUAACUUCUACGUGAAUAUACUUUUUUAUUUAUUCAUGGUUUUUCCCCUUUGGUUUAGGUCAGAGUUUAUCAGCUUUACUCCCUUAAUCCCAGCUUUGUUGUCACUUGUAUCCUCUCUGCUGUGUUUUAGUCAUAAACGCUUCAUCCGAGUACUUCUUAAAUAUGAUGAAGUAAAAAAACACAACAAAAUCACAAAUAACAGCAAACAUGCAUGCAAGCUUUGACUCCACAGUCCACAGUAGAACAGAGAAGAAAUGUCCAGCUUUACUUAGCUUCAGCUUAUUAUAACUAAGUGGGCUCUGUUCUGAUUUUGAUCUGUGCUCCAUUCCCGUGAAUCCAGGCCUUGUUUUGAAGUUUGAGAGCGUGAUCCCGGCAAUACAAGCAAGCCUGGAGGUGGUUAGGACAUGAAAGUGAGUUAACUCCACUUACCGUCAUGCAUUGCGCAUCUACGUUUGGUGAAAGCAGCAUGUGCUGAGGCGCUCCGCACAAACUAUGGCUCAGUGAAGCUGCGGCUCUUGACGAGAGCGCGUCGUGUCAGCAGAGACUCUGGCUGCAGCUGCCGCAGAUACCAUCAUUGCGCUGGACCCUAAGGAGGAAUCAGCAUCUUCGAAAAUAAUCGUUCUGAUUGCUUUGCUGGAUUUGCCUGGGCGUAAAUCGUUUAAUGCUGGGGCUCUUUGGACGAAUUAACGGGAUUAAUCGCGACAUUGACAAACGUGGAGAAGUUAUUAUUGUUUUGUGUUUUUGUUUAAACGUGAUCACGAUGAUAGCAGCUGAUGGAUUGAAAACUCCAGCUAUGGAUCUUUUCGCGUGUUAUAAGGAAAUGCUGACUUCAGUCUGGGAUGAGUUUCUACUCCUGCCACAGAUUCAGCUGCUGGACAAGUCUCUUGGGAUAUUUGGGAUACACGCGUGGUCAAGUGCUGACAUUUUCAUAGAUGGUUAAUGUUAUAUGCUGAUUUCGGAAAUGAAAUCUGUAUUUGGUGGAUUUCUUUUUUUUUUUUUUUUUUUGCACAGUUGGAUAUCUUGGAUUAUGUUUUGGAAGCUGUGCUCCAGUGGAUGUCCAGUGAUUUGGAUAAUAUGUGCGCAUCUCCUGAUUCCGCAGUGAAGGAAUCCAAAUUCUCGAGAUGAGAGUACGACCUUUAAUUGCAUGCUAGCGAUCUUCUGCUGGAAGAGGUCCAUCAUGUGAUUUUCAUUGGAGAGUGGCCGGAGGAGACGACCACAAUAAAAACAAGUGAGCGUGCAUGAGCGUGUGUUUGUGUGUCAUCUGGCCUUGUUAAUAACUGCAGGUUGUUUUCCAUCUCGAGGUCGUCAACUGCGGUCAUGGCAUACACAAAUGGAAGAGAGGAGGCCCUAGGAGGUGAUAUCAGUGAGUGCUCCUGGGAGUGUCGUGUAAAUGCAUGCACAGGUCUUGUGAGUUUCUUAGUAAUUGUGCUUCUGAGAGUUUGUGAGAGUUGCAAGUGUGUGUGAAAGUGCUGUUGCUUGAAAGUGUUUUCCUGUGUGUGGAGAACUCAUAAGCAGGAUGAUGUAGCAAGCAGGAAGCUCUGAUCCCAAUAGGCGUGUCAGCAGGAGUAGUUUUUCAUAAGGUAGUAAUCUGACCAGACAAAGGGGUGUCCAAUAUUAAAGAGAGCCCCUACCCCUGAGCUAAUCAAGACCUGACCAACCCUUCUGCUGGCUCACCAACUCUCUAAACAUUACCUCAUCUGGAGGCUUAGCCUAGCCACAUGCAGCUCCAGUCUGCUGGUGUACAUGAUAACUCACUUAGCACAGUAUGAUAGCUAGAAAAAAACGGAAAUAUAAGAAAGGAUAUAAAAGAAAUGGGACCAGCACACAACUACCUAUGGUGCCUAGUGCCAGGGAAAGGUAUUUUAAAAGGCAGAGGAAAGAAAGAAUCAUUUUACCAUGUCCUCCAGAAACUCUGGGAAGCAAUUUGCCGGUAUUCAGUUUCUCUCCCCACCGUCCUGUUAUUGCUGUUUUCCCCUCAACUCUUGGAGCCUUCAACCUGAAAAGGAGAGUUUUUUUAGUUUAGGCUUUGUGUCACUUGGAAACAGUGCCUUUGUUGCCAAGGCAACAGUUCUGGGACAAUGAAACUCAGAAGCAGAGAGCGCCUUUGUCUUGGAAUGGAUGAAGAGUGACCGACGCUGUCUUUGGUCCAGCCUCUUAACGUGUUUGCAUGUGCUGUAGAAACCUGCAAGAGUCUUGAUUCAGUAUCUACCUGAACCUGUUGACCUCAUAAAAUAAAACCAGCACACCAAAUAAAUUUUAAAUGUUACAAUGGAAAAGCUACUUUGGCUACUUCAAUUUUCCUGGGAUGCCAGGUUUUGCAGAGCUUCCCUGAAACCCUAGAUUUACACUAAGCAAAGAUGAAACGUAGAUCUCAGUUUCUAAUCCGGAUUUGACUUUUUUUAGUUUCUGCGAAAGUACUGCUUUCACUUAUUUUUAUAUACAGUCAUGCAUAUAUGAGUCAUUUUCUGCUUUUGUUCUUUUUCAUAUGGUUAACUUCUACAUGUACAACAUGCUCACAAAUUUCAGUUAUUAGAGCUAACAAAUGAUAGUGCCCAUAGACUCUAUAUAAAAGAGGCUUUGGCUUACCAUGUUAAAUUUCUUGAGCUUAAAGUUGCUAUGUUUAGGCCAGAGAGUAAUUCUGAGCUAUUAGUUAUCAGCUAAUGCUAGCAAGCUAGGAUAGCAAGCUACAUCUGUCAGCUGUAUGGGUCCAUUUCACAGACAGAGAUAUCAGAAGUGUACUGGGGUUUCACUCACAGGCAGUGGAGCAAAGAGCAAAACUUUGUGCACAGAUUUUCCCAACUCAUAGCAGGAUAUUAUUUCUCCCAUUCAGUGAAUUAGCAGAGGUAAAGACUAGAAAACCGGUACUGCCUUUAGCUGCCUAUGCCAGCUGCUUAACCCUGAACAUGCCAUUAAAAAAAAAAAAAACUUCUACAUACUGCAGCUUUUUUGGCUCUAAUUUGAAAUAUAAUUUUGCAUGAGUAAGUGGGACUUUCCCUAAAUGAGUCAAGUCACUUAUGAUCUGUAUGUCUGUGAGAGACCUGUUGUUUUUACAGACACUGGAGAGGAAGCAAGUUGUCUUAUGUACUAUUCAUUUAUUUUAAAAAGAUAAAGUGCACAUGGCCUGUAAUUCUUAUUGUACUGUUGUUUCCUUCUCUCUGUUUUUUCUUGUUAUAAUAUUUAGAGGCCAAAAUGGGAAACCAUAUAAUUAAUUAUAGGAAUAUUAACAUAAUCCAAAUCAGUUCAAGCAAGUGUACUAAAUGAUUUCAUUUUAACACCCAACAAGACUCAGAGAUUAUACAACACUGCGGGUUAAUCUUGUGGCAUCUGUAAAUCAAGGGAACAUUUGGCAUUACUCAUUUACAGUUAUCAAAGUUUCUUAAUACAAGUUUGGGCAGUGUUGGUCGAGAUAAAAUAUGGCUCCAGUUUUUUUUUCUUUUGUCUUAUAUGUGCACCUCUCUCUGAAUCACUUUAUUUCGCCAUUCUUUAUCUUUUUCAGAUGAUCACCAAGAAGGGGCUGAGUAAUGGAAACAUGACCUCAAGAGAUUCAACAGGUAAGAUUCUGUCUUUUGUUUGAUCUUAAAGCCUAGGAGUACGUGAUUACACACAGUGUCGUCUUAUGAGGAGCAGCGACCGUUGCUAUAAACAACCACAGUAUGGUAUGUUGACUAAAUAAACAGAGGAAGAAGUGGUAGUUCACAUAUAUGAGAGAUGUGAUCAGGGUGGUGCCACUGGAUUCAUGCCCGUGUUCUUGCUGUUUUUUUUAUUGUGUAACCCAAGUCAUGACAGCACAGUAAAGAAUGCAGGGACACAGAGAUAUCACUUCAAACACAACUUCUCUCAGGAGCCUCAGAUCCUUUCAGUGGAACUGAAUGAAGAUAUGCUUUGAUGGCCCACCACAGAGUCGGUGGCUUUCAAAGAAACCUGUUGAUGGGAUUGCACAGUGCACCCAGCCAACUGAAUGAGUGGUACUGUAUUUGUGCCUCUCAGGAUACUCCUGGGUGUUCUCAUUGGAGGUCAGAUCUGCUUGACCUCAACAUGAGUAGUCAUUUUCUGUAGAUUUUUUGGCUUGCCUUAUCUUUUUUUUUUUCUUCCCUUCCAUCUUGUUCUCUCACCAAAUGGAGAACUGUGUAUGGAUGGCAGGGUGCCAGCAGACAGGUACAGUAGAUGUGCUGAUGAGGGAUGGUGAUAGGGGCAGGCCUCAGUUGCAGCCUCGGGCAGAGAGAGACAUACACAGGCAGGCGUAGACUCAGAGGCAGGUUGAAACCUGGUGCUGUAUGCUGAUGUUUCUCUGCUUGGCUGUGCUCCAGGGUGAGGCAUGUGAGAGAAACGUGGGAAGGGAAAAUCCAGAAUGGAGGCCAGAAGAGAUGCACAAAGUCAGGAUCAUACUAAAUCCCGGUUUGGACUGUUGGACCAGCAUCCUCUGAAGCAGAUGUUUGCUCCUGGCAAGGCUGCCGACAACAUGAGCUCCAACACUGGCAAUCUAGCUCCCAGGAUUCAGUGAGCAGCGUGAGCUUGGAGAAGCUAUGACAUAAACGCAGCAGGACGGUGAAUCGCGUUUUGCUGCUCAGACAUCAUGGAACAGAUCAGUCAGCCCCAUCUGGAGAAAUGCUCUAUAGAAGAGUCAUAUAUUUACCAUAGUUACUUUGAUGGAUACAGCAUGUUGUUUGACUUUAUUUUUCUAAUUGAUUUUAAUAGAAAUGAUAAUUUCCCGGCAUCUAUGUAUCUUCUCUUGUUUUGCAGAUUUUAUUUACAGUGUCGCUCAUUCAGUAACUUCAGCAUUUACUGUGUAAUUUUUGUCAUUUUUGGUAAUGUGACUGUUUUCAAAGUGGCUCUUCUAAAACUGCAUAAGAACAUUUAUCCAGGGAGGAGCACAAAAGAUGUCUCCUACUGUGUAAAAAGACUUAAUGCACAUGUGAUUGAGAUUAAUCAGACGAAUCACUCAGUCAGUGGAUAUGUGAUUUUCAUCUUCGACAAAGAAGCCAUUGUCAUUAAUGUAAAACCAUGAAUUCUCCUUCUUACGCUGCAUUUUAUUGUGACACAUUGGCAGCUUCUGCUAAUUUCAGUUAAUAAUCCUGUCAAGCAGUUUAUUCUCAUUAUGAUUUAUGACUCCAUAGCUUUUGUUGUUUUUGUUAAGCCCUGUUAGCAGAAAUUAAAAGGUGUAUCCAAGCUGCUGUUUGUUUGUGUUGUCAUUCCAGAUACAUGAGAUAAAUGGUUGGAUGUUUCAGUGGUGUUCAUUGUUACGGUUAUUCAUGCUGGCUUCCUUACUAGUUAGGCCAGUAUGUGCUAGUCUAGCAUUUGAGGAAUAAAUAGGGUGUUAUCUUUUUUUUUUUU